rnacentral:lncRNA from 1 species
UUAAGCCCAAACCGUUGACCCUGUCCUAAUCUAGUUGGGUUUUCGACCCAUUUGCACCUGUCUUGAUUCUAUGUUUUCGAGCCUUUAACUCGAGUCUCGCUCCACCUGUAUUAAAUACAACCUUGGCUUCGUGGCCCAAAUAAAUAAAUAAGAAUGUAAAUAACUAAAUAAAGACGACAAUAAGUAAAUAAACAAAUAACAAAUGAGCCUUUUUCUUUUUUGGUCUUGUAGCCGCUUCAAAUGUGGAACUUUAACCCAUUCUUCGCCCUUUGAUUCCUUGUAUUGUGCCAUAAGAUUGAUGUAAUCGAUUUUAUGUCCUCCAAAGGGUGGGCCUCCAUGGCCCGUAGCGUAAUGCAAAGAAAAGAGCUUAAUUGGACUCCCAAGAUAGUUCAUGCAAAAAAAAAAAAAAAUUAAUAUCUACCCGAAACGCCACAUGACAUAAUGCGGGAACAAAUGGCCCAAGGUUUCGAGAGUAAAAAAAAAAUGAUACAAAGCAAAACACAUCUUUUAACAUAAUAUAAACAUUAACUCACGCGACAAGGAAGCAGGUGAAAUUUAACUCGAAUAGAGGGAAUCGUCAAGUUUCAACUAAACCAACAUUAUCGGUAAUGCAAACAUUCCAAUUAUAGCAAUGAAGCUACACGGCAAAGAUUGAUCGAAGCCGACAUAGGUCGCCUACGUAUCCCGUUCUUGGAAAUUCAGGUCAAACGUAGUUCAUAGAUAAACUCAUAAUGGCCCUAAAAAUACUCUUAUCCACCUUACUAGGGUAUAAAUAAGUACUUCUAUGGAUGAUAUGACAUUUGCAUUGCGUUUGUCUUGAUAGAACAAAGUAUCAAAUGUCCAAUGGAGUCAUCGCCUUCCUAGUUAACCACCCCGGUUUCCUCUAGAUUAGGCUUCUUUGAUUCUCGAACUCUUUAACUCUUCUGUUGACUGUUCUAGGCUAUCAUUAUUUUGCUUCUUGACAUGACAUGAUAAAGGCAAGUUUUAAGUUACUGUUAUACGACGGGUGAUGAGUCAUGAGUGGAGUGGAGGUCCAAUUCAACAAUGUUUCCUCCAAUUAAUCUUCCAUGAUCCCGAUUGUCUUGGAAAAUUCUUCCCUUAUAUUUUUCUUGUUCCAUCCUCGAGACCAUCACUUACAGGGUUGAAAAAUGAUUGGUAGAGUCUAGUUUUACUACUAGUCAUUUUUCUUUUCCUGUAACGAAGCGAUAGUCAAGAAGGGGAUCUCUUAUUCAUUUUGAUCUGGUGAAGUAGGGUUAUUUUGUACCAACACAGAGUAGUUUCUAUUACCUGCAAAGUAAAAAUAACUCAAAUGAUGACGUGUUAGAUUCCGUUAGUAAUAAGUAAAGCAAGAUGAUAAGGUAGGAAGCAAACAUGUAGAGUUGUUUCUCAUCUCAUGCGAAUUGAUCCAUAAAGUAAUGAUGACUUGGGGAUUUUAAUGAACAGGAUAUUGCUCAAUGAUAUGGAUAGGUGGAAUUUAUUGGGAAGAUUCAACUCUUCUUCCUUCAAGAAAGUGGAGGACAACAUAGCUUUUGGAGAUAUGGGCCGGGGCGAAAGGCUGCCUAUGUAUCUCACGAAGGAGAAAUCAGGCCCUGCGUAGUUCGAACUAUAAUGGCAUUUUCUGAUUCUAAAGUCAACUUUCCUAAAAUGGUAGCGAUUAUUUUGGAAGUUUUGAGAAUAAGUACGGACUUUUUUGAGAAACUUGGGAGACUUGGAGUACUUUUGGUCGAACUUUUGUAUAGCCGGUAUGUUUCUGCCUAGAGAUGUUCUAUGAAAAAUGGGAUUGGAUCAUUUCACCUUUGAUUCGAAUCAACACAACACGUAUAAGCACAUAAACAGUUAUAUUACACAAGCAUAUUGUAAUAAAAGUGCAUCCUAAUUAUGUGACCCAUUUGAGCCAAGGGUUUAGGCCUAAGAAAUUUUGAAGAAAAUAUACGCCUUUUAAAAGAUAAUCCAUUAUCCCCAUAAACCUUCAUAGGUAUACCUAAAUGAUUUAAAUGUCUACAAAAGUUGUACAAAAGAGAUACAAUCUUUAGGGAAAGGGAAUAAUAUACCACGCAGGGGAUACUAAUUACUGAAUGCUUCUUCUAUCGGCGUUCGCGCUUUUAGCUUUGUCCACUCCUCAUUAUUGGAAACAUCCGUUAAUGAUCAAGCGAUUGAUGCAUCCUUAUACAAAAAUGAGUAAAACAAGUCUUCUCCCGACCCCAAAGGAUAAAGGAUUGGAUUAAACAAACAUAUAUUUAUUCAACACAUAAAUAUGAUUUGUCUGUAAUUGNNNNNNNNNNNNNGAAAGCUUUCUAAUGGGUCCAAUACCCCUUUCGAGUAUUAGGUCGUCCUAGGCUCAUGCCUAAAUAGGAUUUUGGUUUCAUUCUAUCCUAGGUGUCUAGAGUGGGUCUGAACACUGGUUCUCAAGACGACAACUUGAGUUUGAAAAUACGAAUUGCCAUUAGACGACUCACGUGCUAAUAAGCCGUUCGUAUUUCAACACAUUUUUGAAAUUGAACAACAGGGGCCGAGACAUCUACGAAACCCAAAACAGUCUAAAUAACGCAAGAAUAUGCCAUGAGAUACGAUAGUUAAACUUUACAUAAUCGAAACAUAUAAACACAUAGGCAGUUAAUUGAAAGACGAAAUCAUUUAGUUAGAACCUAGUUAAAGAUUCACAACUGAGUCGUCAUUUCUGUUUUGCGGAAUUUUUUACUUUUGAAAGUGUCGCCACUUAAUUUUGAAAAGGAAUUAAAAACCUUUAUAAAACACUUUAAACGAUCUAAAACAAAAAAAUCGUUUAAGUUAAGAAAUUCUAAGUAAGCGCUUCCUAUUAACGUUUUAGGAAGGUGUUAGGCACCUAAAACGUCCGCUAAAUUGCAAUUAUCCAAACUAUUUGAAAAUCGUCUUUUGAUUAACUUUGGAAAAUCGAUUUGUUGAAAAAGAAUUGGAUUAAGAAAAAGGAUUUCGCGAAAUCAAUUUUUUAGAGACUUAGUUAGGGAUUUAACUAGGUUCGCAAAGAAACAAGCAAACAAGUAAAUGAAAAGGGAAUAAGCGGGAAAGUAAUGAUUUAGGCUUUUAAGCCCAAACCACCCUGGUCUAAUCUAGUUGGGCUUUCGACCCAUUUGCACCUGUCUUGAUUCUAUGUUUUCGAGCCUUUAGCUCGAGUCUCGCUCCACCUGUAUUAAAUACAACCUUGGCUUCGUGGCCCGAAUAAAUAAAUAAGAAAGUAAAUAAAUAAAUAAAGACGAUAAUAAGUAAAUAAACAAAUAACAAAUGAGCCUUUUUUUUUUUUUUUGGUCUUGUAGCCGCUUCAAAUGUGGAACUUUAACCCAAUCUUCGCCCUUUGAUUGCAUGUAUUUAUAUUGUGCCAUAAGAUUGAUGUAAUCAAUUUUAUGUCCUCUAAAGGGUGGGCCUCCGUGGCCCAUUGCGUAAUGCAAAGAAAAAGAGCUCAAUUGGACUCCCAAGAUAGUUCAUGCAAAAAAAAAAAUAAAAAAAAUUAAUAUCUCUCCGAAACGCCACGUGACAUAAUGCGGGAACAAAUGGCCCAAGGUUUCGAGAGUUAAAAAAAACGAUACAAAGCAACACACAUCUUUUAACAUAAUAUAAACAUUAACUUACGUGACAAGGAAGCAGGUGAAAUUUAACUCUAAUAGAGGGAAUCGUCAAGUUUCAACUAAACCAACAUUAUCGGUAAUGCAAACAUUCCAAUUACAGCAAUGAAGCUACACGGCAAAGAUGGACAAGAUAAAUAAAUCGGGCAACAAAUAAGAGAAAUAUCACUGGAGAAGAAAACAAUAAGUGAAAACAAGAUUCUAAUAACAAAGAUGUACCAAAAUGAUAGAACUAGAUUAGGAAAAUUUCACCUUAUCAAACUUAUUAGCUUGCAACUAUGAUUCAACCAAAUGUAACUUCUCUUUAAUUAAGAAGGGGAAAAUAGGGAGAAGAAAGCAAAACAGUUCAGACAAGCAGAUUACUCAAUCAUAUAAUGAAUUAAAGGAUCAUAGCAUAAUGUAAUCAACUAAUAAUCUUGAAUCACCACAAAGCAACACCAAACUAGAACAUGGGAUUAGAUUUUCAACCGAGACUUGAAACGUGAGGAUACAGAUAAUGGGUCAAAUUUAAUUUUAUCGAUAAAUUAAAUAAACUGCAAUCCAAACUUUUGGAUAGGAACAAAAAUUUGAGGCAAAAGAAACAUUUAAUUAUGAAAAGAAAUAUUUUUGUUCACUUGACAUAAUGUUAAAGAAAGGAAACUUUCAGCUACAGGGGGUAUCACGAUAGGUUUUUACAGCAACUAAGCAACACAAACAUCAACUCAUUCGUAGAAGAACAAUAAAACUAGCAUUGUGACACUGGGAUACAAAGCAAUUAGUCAGAUACUAGCAACUUGGACCCUAAUGUUGAAAUACAAAAUAAUAUGUUGAUGACUUAACAAAAUCCACGUUGCAGUGAGUUUGAAGGCAAAACUGAGCACCAACUAUGAGACGAAAGCACUGAUUUAGUAGCUCAGCGGAUGAAAGGAAAAAAUCGUACAUAGAAUUUUCACCAAAAUCAAAGUUAACACCAAAUGAUGAUUGAGAUCCAACGAUAGAAAGUGUUCACAUAAACAGAGACCUAAAAAACAUAUUCAUGAUAUACAGAUGCCUAAAACAUUAACAGCUAACAAAUAACAUUACCAUGAGACAGUAAGCUUCAAACCAUCGAGUUGAAACAUACGAGAUUGACGAUUAAUCGAAAAGUUACGAUACAAACAGCGAUGCAACAAACAACUCAGCGACAAUCAUCACAAGUAAAUCCUAUAACCAUCAAAGCCAUCUACAGCAAGAAACCCAGCCUCAUUCAUCGACAAACAAAUAACGAUUUCUACGAAGAGAGAGGGAUGAAGAAGAAAACGAUAAGUUAAAAGGGGCGAGGGUAGGUUUACCUCCUUUGUGGCAGCAAAGCGGGACUCGAGCUAUCAGCAAAAUCGUCCCUAGUAGGAGAUUAUGUUGUCGACUUGGGAACUCUCAAUCAAUCGACUAGCUUCCCAGGAAGAAAAAAAAAAUGGAUGAGAAAACUUUUUUCAAAACAAACUCUUUACUUUCGGAGUUCCCAACCCCAAAUUUUGAACUAGCCUGAAGUUUUCUCCUUUAAACUCUUUCGAACCUUCGUCUCUAACCUUUCACCUUAGAGCUUCGACCCUCGAAUUUCCAAAGAAAAGAAAAAAAGAACCCCCAAAAUCUCCAACUUUUGUAGACUGCCAAGGAAUCGAACCCCUAGAAUUUUACCCAAACUUUCAAACCCUUCAAAGAAGAGAAAAAAUCUGAACCCCCCCUCUAAAACUGCGACCUGAUCUCUUCUUAUAUAGAAGAUGGAAACUCAAGGGUAUCUUAGGGAUUUUUCAAAGGGAAUUUGAAAUUCAAAACCCAUGGGAUCCCCCGAAUCGUCCCCGAUUUGGAUUUUUCCACAAAUUUGAAACCCCAUGGACCAAUCAAAUGCGGGAGGACAAAAUGUACCCAAGAACCAAUGAAAAUUUUCCAAAUAUGUACGAAUCCGUACGGGUUAUCCCAAAAUUUGCGGGAUUGGAUCGUUGGGAGGUAACACCUAGCUUGUUCUAGAAGGUUUCUUGGCGUCCUUUCAUACACAUCAGUGUAGAACGCGCGAGAGAGGAAAAAGCAAGUCGUUUGGAAUCAAUUUAGGGUUUAAAAUCGGGUCUAGAAUAGGUUGACAUUUGUUGGUGAUGUACGCCAUUUUUGGCUGCUUCUUGGCAUUGGAGACCCGUUCUUUGUUGAUUAAAGGAGAAAGGGGAAUUUUUGAUGGUG